rnacentral:lncRNA from 1 species
AAAUCAUAGAAAAUAGGGUAAACUCUAGAUACCACCCCUGUGGUUUCGCACUUUCUCAUUUUAGUAUUCUGUGUUUUAAAGUGUAUCAAGUUAGUGUCCCGUGAUUUUAUUUUUAUCUUUUCGUCAGUUUUUCCGUUAAUAUUUCGUUAAAUUAUAUGCAAAAAACUUCAGAUACUCCACCUAGGCUUAUCGAAUAUUUACUUUACCCUUUAGUUUUAACUUUGUCACUGAAUUAAUAAAAAAAAAUAGUGAAAUCGAUCAUAAAAAGAUUAAAACAAAACCACAUGAUACUAAAUUGAUAUAUUUUAAACCACAUGGUACUAAAGUGAGAAAGUGUGAAACUACAGAGAUGGUAUUUGAAAUUUUCUCUAAAAUAUAAUAGUUCUAUA